rnacentral:tmRNA from 1 species
GGAUCGAAAGGAUUUCGACGGGGGAAACGAGGCUUAAUAAGCGAGCAGAGGCGAGGCACCUCUUUAAAAGCUUCAACUUAAAUAAUAACUGACAAUAAUAGAACAGUUUUAGCAGCUGCCUAAUCGCAGCCGCCGUCAUUCCCGGAAGUACUGCGGUCCGGUGCGUGGCGUCAUUGAGCAGUGAACGUGCACGGGCACACCGCCUUGUAACCCGUCACGAAUAACAUGGCUUUUUCAAUCCGGAGGGUGUUGUUUCCCGCCGGUGCGCAGAGAACAAACAAACAACUACGCUCGUAGAAAGUUAUGAGGACUUUCUUUCGGACAGGGGUUCGACUCCCCUCGAUUCCACCA